UAGAAUACAAUCAGGUUUUGCUACAACCAGGUUAGGCCAGGAUGGUGGGAGCACUGGAGGAGGCUAGAAGCCACAGGAGCCCACAGGUGGCAGCUUUCAUAAUCCUACAGGUCCUGUGGUAUUCCUUGUGUUUCAGACAACUCUCAGCGCCCUGGCUAUAAGUCCAUCCUCUCUCCCACUCAUAGGUGCACAUGGGUGGAUAGGUCUAACUUUCUGUACAUAGACCAUUGACAAACUGGUAACUCAUUUGUGCCACACUUCACAACAUAUGCUCGCACCCCAGUCCAGAGUAUUGGACCAGGUGAACAGCCUCAGCAUGAGGGAGAGCCACCUGUAAGCUAAAGGGCAACAGGCCAUGCAGGGGCUGCAGGUGUUGCCAGGACCCGUAACCCGGUUUCUCCCCGCCCACCCGACCACCACCAGCAGUUUGAGACUUUCCUGAUCUACUUCAUACCUUUUUAAAAAAUCUUUAUUUUUUUAUUGAUUGCAGAGAGGAAGGGAGAGGAACAUCAAUGAUGAAAAAGAAUCAUUAAUUGGCUGCCUCCUACACACCCCCCCUACUAGGGAUUAAGCCUGCAACCCGGGCAUAUGCCCUGACCAGGAAUCAAACUAACCUCCGUGGUUCAUAGGUCAACGCUCAACCAGAGCCACGCUGGCCAGGCUGCUUCAUAUGUAUGUGUCCCAAAAGCACAAGAGGUGCUUCCACAGUUCUUCCUUACGUAGCAAUAGGUCCUGACUCAAAUAAAUUGGCUCAAAUUCCAGCUUUCUGCCAUUAAGUCAUGUGUGUCUGAUUCAUGUGGGCCAUUCUAGUCAGUCCCUUAGGACAAACAGUGAAACCAGAAGGAGUCUUUGUGCCCCAGCACACCUGAGGGGGGUUUAACCCUUUGAAUGCCAACCAAUAUCCUAGGAACUAUGCUAAAAUUGCCAAGGCAUUUUUGCUGAUUUUACAGCAGUUUGGGGAAAAAAUUAUCAAUUGCAAGUAAAUGAAGAUACAUAUUCAAAAACGUAAGGAAACCUUUACUACACUGACAUAUUUAGCAAUAUCAUCAUCACUAAUAAAAGCAGACUUAGAACUGGACGCCAUUUCGAAGCUUUGAUAGUGUUCCCGGCACUUUUGGUGAAAGGAGGAGCGCAAUCGCGCUCCCCGGCACUCUAGGGGUUAAUUUAGGCUUCUAACUCCUCAUCGCAUUCUUCUUAACCAGGAAAUUUUCAGCAACAAUCACUUUUUGGGUAAUGAGUCUCAAAGCACUCUAUUUUAUCUGUUCUUUAUCUGUACUUCAGGUCUGUAUAAUGAAUUUGUUGAACAAAUCUCCCCUUCUCUAACUUUUAUACCCAUCCUUCAAACUAAUCCUCCCAUCAAAAAACUUCUUACGUACUUUUCCAACCAAAAUUACCUAUUAAUUUCUAUUAUGCAGCACAAGUCCAGAUGAAGGCCAUGGGCCACAUAGACCAGGGAUGUUGCCACUGGUCCCAAACUCAGGCCCAAGCUUUCCAGUCAGGAAAAUGAGUCAUGACCUCUCACUGGGCUUAUAUCCUCCUCUCACCAUCCCUCUGGACCCAGAUACUGUCUACACCUUAUUUCAUUUCCCUACACCUAGUCUCAUCCCACCUAACUUAGGGCCUAGUUCAUUAUCCAUAGCAAUAGCUCACAGGGGUAUGGUGUGUGUAUAAAACUUCUAGCACUUGCCUUCAUCACUUCCUCUCCAACGCCUCCUGGGGUUAACAAUGAUCCAAUGUAAUUCUGCACAAACUUACAAGCAGAAGAUGUAAAAGGUAUGUAUCCUCUUUAUUGUGAUCUAAAAAGCUCAGGGAGUUACUCUAGGGACACACAGAAGUUUGUGGCACAGGUUUUGGUAAAGAGCAAAAUGCUCACUGGAAAAAAAUAAUUAUUAGCUAGAUAACCAGGGAGAUUUAACCCUAGCUAGCAAAUUUUUAACUCUGCAAAUACUUGGAGUCAUUAAUUACGUAUAGUUAUUUUAUUCAUAAUUUGUCAUAUUUUCGGAUACCAAAAGUUAUUCUAAUAGUUGAAUUUAACAAGAAAAAUUUAACCUCAUCUUAAAUCCGCUGAUCCAUUUCAUUCAAUGGCAAUAUUCAAUGUUAAAAGGAACAUAAAAACAACAUGCACACAAUUGUACAGUUUUCAUAAAGGUCUAUUUCAUUAUUGGUGGGUAGCGCAUUUAACAGUUAAAUACAUUAAAUAAUGUAUAGGUGACUGCAGGACUGCCGCAUUGGUAACUAGAUAACCAAUUCAACUAGAAACCAGCUAACAAGUAACUGUCUACAUACAUAUUUAAAACACAGCUCUUGUUUAGCUCAUCCUGUUUUGAUCACCUUCUUGGAGGGAGAAAAGCCUGCUGGUCACACUGGAAAUAUAUUAAGGCCAAAUCUUCUGAUAUCCAUUCCCAGAGGUUGCUUUCAGCUGGAUUAAGCCUCCAACUCCAGGGCAAGCCCCAGUUUGUGGCCACCAGCAUUAAUGCUCUUCCCAUCUACCAGAGCAGACAGCGUAAGCUUCACACCUGUAAACAGAAGCAGACAACCAGGACAUGCAUGAAACACCUCAUGAGAAUCUAGUCUUCUUUACUGUGCCAUAGCCUGCCUAUCACUUUUCCUCAGCCUGUCAGAUGACAUGUUAGUGCCAGCCACCAGAGGGCACUUGUGAAUACCUGAGCUAGCAGAAAGAAUUAUGUUGGCACCAUCCCGGGGUAAGGUAUCAAGUCACAGAACAUAAAAAUGUUAAUUAUAAAGUACAAAGUGCUCUAGAAGAUGCAAUAAUGUUCAACAUACUAUCAGACUAAAGAAAAUCAUAACUGAAUCCUAGAAAGGAAAAACUACAAUAAACAUUUUGGGAACAAGUGGGGAAAUCUGAAUAGACUACAGUACAUAUCAAAUAUUAUUAAUGUUAAUCUUCUUAGCUGUGAGAAUGGUACUGUAGUUUUAAAGAAAAAUGUCUUACACGGGCUAUACACACUAGGGCUGACGUGUCUACAUAUCUAUAAAACACACAUUUAAAUAAUUCAUAAGGGCAUGUGAAAAAAAGGAUUAUAUAUACAGACAUGGAAAGAAAA